AAAUAAUUUUAGCUAGCUAAAAUUUAGUUGGUGGAACCAAACAGGGCCUUAAUCUCCUACAACAGUAAAAGAUGGACACCCGUUUUGUGCGACAUUCGUCCAUCGGGUUUUCGUCCUGUCUCGUGCGAUGAGGAAACCCGCCCGGCUCUCUCUUCUGCAAAAAAAAGGAAAGUGCCUGCCUCCUCCUCGACAAAUCCUCCUUGGCGCCCCCUCGACGAAUCCUCCUCCACGCAGAGCGGCCGCCUCCUCCUCGACGAAACCUCCUCGGCGCCCCCUCGACGAAUCCUCCGCCACCCAGAUCCCCCACACAGAGCCCCCACGCAGAGCGCCCGCCUCCUCCUCGACGAAUCGGCGACCGCCUCCUCGACGAAUCCUCCUCGGCGCUCCGCUCCUAGAUCCUCCGAGACAAAUCCUCCUCGACGCCCGCCUCCUCGACGAUUCCUCGACGCCCCAUCCCAGAUCCUCCUCCACGCAAAGCCCCCUCUCAUCCUCCUUGGCGCCCCGCUCCCAAAUUCUCCUCGGCGCCCGCCUCCUCGACGAUUCCUCCUCGGCGCCCCGCUCUCAGAUCCUCCUCGACGAAUCCUCCACGCAGAGCCAACCGAUUAUAAGAGCUAGAAAACUACUAUUGGAGCACUCCAGUAUAAAACAAUAAAGGUCCUGCCCGCGAAAGCCACCGCUAUCUCCUCCUGAUCCGCAUCCCGCUCGGCGGCGGCGCCUGCGCCUGCAUCUUGCCGGUUGCCAAACUCGACGUCGCCACCGCCGAUCCCGGAAGCUGGUGAGGGUUGCCGGAAGCGCCUGCCUCUUGCCGGUUGCCGGACGCACCUAUCAACCGCUGGUGACGACGAAUCGACACAGGAAGCUGGUGACGAGCUCGGCACAGGAACACGACGCUGGUGAGGCCAAAGCCAUCCCGCUUCUUUUUGCUUUCUGCUGUGCAAAAUCUGCCAACCCUAACCGCUCAACCGUAAUAUCUUUUUGUGUUGUUGAUCUCCUGGUCAUCUUGCAGUCUGAAUUUCUAAAUUUUCAGUUUUAAAUAUCUUAUUAUCCAGUUUUCAAUUUUAAACAAUGUAAUAUGUGCUAUCUAAUUUUCGCGGUGCUCAUACAUUCUCUAUUCUCUAAUAUAUCCAACUUUUAGUUUUAACAAUAUAAUCUAUGCAAUUUGAACUGGGUAUCGCUGCCUGCUAUAAUUUUAUAUGUGGAGCAUUGGUUGCAUUUUUGCAAAGAUCUUGACUGGUAGCCCUUAUUCCCUGAAAAAAAUAUUGUUUACCAGACUGAUCUCUUUGUCAAACCAUUGCCAGAUACUAUUAGCUUGUUCAUCUAAGCAAAGAGAGAAAGCUACUUUGCGCAUUCUUCAUUGCUCAAGCUCUUGUCAUUUUCAGUUUGCAUUGCUGUUAUUUAAGCUACUUUGCGCACUUGAAGUUGUCAAGUUGGUCGAAGGGCAGCUUGUCUUGUCAGGUUAGCACAAAAGGCAAUUGAACCACUUCCAAAGAGCCAAGGAAGAGAUUGUUCAUAAUGAAACCUAUACAAAACAAUGAAGGUCGUACGCCAUUUGCAGACUUGACAAACUCCAUUAAUGGAGCUGUUCAUACAACAUCAAAUUCACAAGUGCAAGCUGAUGAACGUGUGCAAUGUAAAAGGGAUGAUGAACGUGUGCAAUGUAAAAGGGAAAGAGAAAAGGCAAGACAUGCAACAAUGACUCAAGAACAAAGGGAUGAAAAAAAUAAAAAACGUAGAGAAAAAUAUCAUCAAAAAAGGCAGAAACUUCACUAGCUGCUGGGUCUAGAGGUCCACCGUAUUCUAAUUUUCCGUUUUUGAAUUUUGUAUUACCAUUUUUUCGUUUAUGUGAGACAUAUAGUAUUGUAUAUCACCUACUUGUAUUAGUCAUUUGUUUGCUUAUUUAGAAUAUAAUUAUGUUGUACCA